rnacentral:rRNA from 1 species
UACAGAGGUCUCAAGCGUUUGUUCGGAUUCAUUGGGCGUAAAGGGUGCGUAGGCGGCGCGGUAAGUCCGGGUGUGAAAUCGUCGGAGCUUAACUCCGAAACUGCAUUCGAUACUGCCGUGCUUGAGGACUGGAGAGGAGACUGGAAUUUACGGUGUAGCGGUGAAAUGCGUAGAGUAUCGUAAGGAAGACCAGUGGCGAAGGCGGGUCU